AAUCCUUUAACGAGGAUCAAUUGGAGGGCAAGUCUGGUGCCAGCAGCCGCGGUAAUUCCAGCUCCAAUAGCGUAUACUAAAGCAGCUGCGGUUAAAAAGCUCGUAGUUGGAUCUCAGUUCCAGACGAGUAGUGCAUCUACCCGAUGCGACGGCUCGGACUGAACAUCAUGCCGGUUCUUUCUUGGUGCACUUCAUUGUGUGCCUCGAGAUGGGGCCGGUGCUUUUACUUUGUGUUUGAAAAAAUUAGAGUGCUCAACGCAGGCGAGUCGCCUUAAUAAACUUGCAUGGAAUAAUAGAACAAGACCUCGUUUCUGUUCUGUUGGUUUUUGGAAUACGAGGUAAUGAUUAAGAGGGACGGACGGGGGCAUUCGUAUUGCGGCGCUAGAGGUGAAAUUCUUGGACCGUCGCAAGACGAACUACUGCGAAAGCAUUUGCCAAGAAUGUUUUCAUUGAUCAAGAACGAAAGUCAGAGGUUCGAAGGCGAUCAGAUACCGCCCUAGUUCUGACCAUAAACGAUGCCAACCAGCGAUCCGCCUGAGUUACUCAAAUGACUCGGCGGGCAGCUUCCGCGAACCGCAAAGUAUCUCUGGGGUUUCCGGGGAGAAGUAUGGUUGCAAAGCUGAACUCUCACGGAAUCUCGACGGAAGGGCACGCAGCCAGGAGUGGAGCCUGCGGCUUAAUUUGACUCAACACGGGAAAACUUACCCGGCCCGGACACUGGGAGGAUUGACAGAUUGAGAGCUCUUUCUUGAUUCGGUGGAUGGUGGUGCAUGGCCGUUCUUAGUUGGUGGAGCGAUUUGUCUGGUUAAUUCCGAUAACGAACGAGACUCUAGCCUAUUAAAUAGGUGCGGGGUUCCCAGCACCUUACAACCUUCUUAGAGGGACAAGCGGCUCCUAGCCGCACGAAACAGAGCAAUAACAGGUCUGUGAUGCCCUUAGAUGUCCGGGGCCGCACGCGCGCUACACUGAAGGAAGCAGCGUGUCUUUAUCCCUGUCUGAAAAGACUGGGUAACCCGUGGAACUUCUUUCGUGAUUGGGAUAGGGGCUUGCAAUUGUUCCCCUUGAACGAGGAAUUCCCAGUAAGCGCGAGUCAUAAGCUCGCGUUGAUUACGUCCCUGCCCUUUGUACACACCGCCCGUCGCUACUACCGAUUGAAUGAUUUAGUGACGGUCUUCGGACCGAUGUCCGGCGCGGCCUUUCGGUUGCGCCGGUCUGUUGGAAAGAUGACCAAACUUGAUCAUUUAGAGGAAGUAAAAGUCGUAACAAGGUUUCCGUAGGUGAACCUGCGGAAG
rnacentral:rRNA from 1 species